ACCAGCUGAACUGCACGAUGCUCAUCUGUUGCAGUCCUUAAAAGGGCUUGUUAAUCAGUCCGCUGUUAUUUAAUUAUCUCCACAGUUAUCUAAGGCCUGACCCAAACACAAGGGUAAUAAUAAACUGGCACCAUCUGUUAGCAGUAUGAAAUUGGAGUUUAAUAGAUCGGGUGGCAUCUGCAUGUUAGUGAAGCUGGKGAAACCUUUAGGUGCCAAACUCGGACCUCGCAGAGGUUACCAAACCUCAGCCUAACCAAAUGCUAUUUAAAACAGCUUUCUGUAGAUCAACUGCAGCUGCGUUUACAGCCGAGAUUUAACCACAGCAAGCUUUUUUCCUAUCUACAGCGCUGGUGUAGGCUCUUUCCAAAGAYACUCUGUGGUAUUAAUGUUUUCCCCUGUGCCCGCAGGCUCUGGCUGGGGGCCCCCAGGGCCGUGCCGGCACAGAGCAUCUGGUUCUGGCACAGCUGGAGCAGCUGCGGGAAACUGCUGGAGGCAGAAGUGGGCUUGCGGAGAGCAAGCGCAAAGCAGAGCUGGGCUUGGGCAGGCCUUGCUGCGAGCGAGCCUUGYGCUGGCCCACGAGAGGGUGCUGGUGGCUCGGGCUGACGCGGAGAGGGACCGGCUGCCAAACCCCCUUGGGAGCAGGUGCCUCGUCUGCAAUCUAUUAUAAAUCAGUUUGGAAACUAAGGAAUAAAGGCACGUCUAGCUCUUUCUCCAGCUGGCUUUUACCUGUCCGGAGAAGGGGCUGCGCUUGGGGAGCGCUCUGGAGUCCUGGGUGUGGGGAUACUCUCGGAGAGGCCCCUUGGCYGCAGCGUGGGGCUCCUCUCCCACCCGUGCAGCAAGGGGCCCUCUGGAAAUGCAGGGCUUUUCCUUGGCUCUCCCCCCAAGACUGUUUUAAGGAGAGAUACAAGGUAUAAUGGGCUUUUUUGGGAGUUAAAGAGCAUCCUCUGGAGCAUCAAGCCAGGCAGAGCCAAGCCCAGGUGCCCCCAGGCCCCCAAGCGCGGCAGCGGGGAGGAGGGCGGCGUUCCCUCCCUGCAGCCCGGAGAAGGAUGAGCAGCCGGACGCCGGCGGAGCGAGAGCGGAGCCUCCCAACACCCAUCUUCCCGGUACCCAUUUGAACCCGCGGAGCCGUACGGAGGAGCGCAGCGCCCGUGCUGCCUCGGGAGCGAAGAGGAGGGGAUGCGGCCGAGAYGCGGCAGGCGGGGGCGGCCGGGGGGUCCUCCCCGCUGAAGGGGGGCUGCCGGGGGACAGGAGCGGAAAGGAGCCAGCGCGGGCGCAGCUGGACCGAGGAGGCAGCGCCGUAAGAGCGAAGGGGCGGCAGGACACCGGGGGCUGCGGGAAGGUGGCCCAGGCCGGGGGGGGGGGGGGGAAGCACAUAUAUAUAUGUAUGAGUAUAUAUAUAUGUUUUUUAUUCUUUUUAUUUUUCUUAGCAACUUCCGAAGGAAAGUUGCAAGCGGGUCUUGCAGCACCGUGCAGGAAAGCGUUGCCCGAGGCUUCGGUCCAGGCAAAAGCGGAGGCUUUGAAGCAGCAUCGGGGAGGCUCCGCCGGGGGAGCCGCGAGCCCGCUUUCCCCGGCGGGAGCAGAGGCCGCCGCACUCAUCACACUGCAGCGUGGAAAUUGCCGCAGCUCUCUCCGCUCUCCGUGACGGCCGAGGGAGCAAUCGCGCCGCCGCCGUCGUCCGGCUCAUGACGGAGGCGCCGAGGCAGCCGGCAGCCAGCCCCGCUCUCCCGCCCGGAGCAUCCCGUCGCCGCYGGCCUUUCCCCCCGCGCAGGUGAGAGCCGGGGCUACGGGCCACGAAGGAGCCGGGCUCGCCRCGAUCAGGCACCGUCGCCGCCCUCCGCGAGCUCUCGGGAAAGCCGGCCGGCGUUGCGCUGGCGGUUUAAUUCCCGGGCGCUGCAGUCGCUCGGCUUCUCCCCGGGGGAGGCCGCGGAAAGCUGCCGAGGCCGUCGCUGCUCCGUAGAGCUCCGUAUGGCAAUUUAGCGGAAAAGCUUGGAAAGAAGCAGGGUGCCUUUCAGAGGAGUAAGUUUAAAAGGAAUGUGGGCCACACGUGAACUGAGUUUAGCCCGUUCUCAGCCUUUAGCGAGUGUUUAUCCAAGGGAAGAGGCUGAGGGGCGAGAUGGGCAGAGCUGAGCUGGCGCUUCUAAGCUUUACUGCGGCCCGGUUAUCAUCUCGGCAUCAUUAGUGACACUAUCACAGCCAAAACCSCACUCUGGGGAUUACGUGGUUGGACCGAUUAGGCU
rnacentral:lncRNA from 1 species